AAGCAAGAUAAAACCACUCACUCACUCACUCACCCAAUCCUCACAUAUGUUAAAAGCAAGAUAAAACCACUCACUCACUCACCCAAUCCUCACAUAUGUUAAAAGCAAGAUAAAACCACUCUCACUUACUCUCUCACUUACUCACUCACUCACAUGAUUUAGGUCACAACUACAUACACAUUGAGGACAUCCAUAUAUCGGCCAGAUUGAUCCUGUCACCUACACAAUCUGUUGGAUCAGAUACAUAGCUAAGGGACUGCAUACAAGACAUUCCUACAUCAGCUAGAUGCAUCAUUUGAUGCCCAGGGCUUGAAUUGCAAUGUGCCAGUGCAUCCCGUUCUUGAAUACUGCAACCUGAUACUAAUGUCUACAUUCACCAAGUGCAGAUCAUAACUUUGCUUAACCCUUACAUGUCCACACAACAUCAACCUUUGAACACAUACCUCUAAGCUUGAUUUACCUUGCAAUGUCAACAAUUCCAUGAGUGUAACAGGUAAUGCUAUUUGCUGUAGUGAAACUGUGGGUACAUCAAUAUGCACAUAUGUUGUCUUUGGUGAAUUUAACAAGGGUGCAACCUGUUUUUGUCUAGUGCAACUAGGUUUUCAAUUCAACACGCCCCUGGUGCAAUUUAAAUCAAACCAUAUCAAGCCCUUAUCACUUAAUUCAAAUACAAGUCCGACUGAUUGCAUGCCUGAAACGCACACUGUACAGUGAUCAGAUAACUUAAGGAAUGUUGGGGUGGUGUCAUGGUCAUAAUAAAUUGAAUAAGUUAAAGUACAAUAUUCUCUCUAUAAUCUAAUAGCCUCUCUCAGGAAUAUGUUCAGUGCCAUCUGCAUUAUUUACUCAAGCUACUAUCUUGGCAAAAGUAAUUGUUUUCAUUUUUAUAUGAUUUACCAAUAUUGUUGAGAUUUCUCACAUUUUUCUCUUUAGUUAUUAAGAUUGUUUUCAAUGUUGAUAUUGUAUAUAAUUCUAAUUUAUUAUUAAAUUUCCUCAUCUCUUCCACAAGACAUUUGUCAUUCUAGCUCUUUCUAAGCUGUGUCAAGUACAAAACCAGUGGGUUGAAAUACAACAUCAAAGCUCUUUGUUUUGGGUUGGUUCUUUUUUUUAAUAUUACUUAUAGCUUCACUUUUUGGUACAAGUAAAUGAUAUUUUUCUAACUUGGAACCUAUUCAUGUACAUUUCACUUUGAUUUUCAUACUAAAGUUUGAGAAUUAAAUUUUUUAUGUAAUAAUUAAGCUUAUUGCAUUUUGUAGUUAUAAUUGCUGUAAGAUAUAUUUACAUAUUAUAUAUUUGGAUUUCUUUAUGAGGAAUGGUUUAUUUAUUGUUGCCAACUUCCCAAAGAUUUUAUUUUUGUUGCAAAUUCACAGCUGGAAUAAGAAAACAUGAGUGCCCCCCUUAAUUCUAUACAAAUGAUAUUCCAAUCAGCAAACAUGGCAAAAAUAGAAUCACAAGAUCAACUUUUGUAAGGACAUUGGUAAAGAGAGUCAUGAUUAAUCUUAUACUCUCUACUUCUUCAUUUCUUCAUUGACUGGUAUGAAGUCUUAAUAUGGAGUAACAUCUAUCCAGUUAGAGGGGAUUGUAGUUUCAGAAUCAGAUGCCGAUUAUUCAAAUCCGCUGAAAUAUUGUAACAAAAUAUUAAUUGUAAUUUGGGAAUGUUGUCAGCUCGGUAUACUUAUUUUACUUUGAAUUUGAUCAUCUCUACCAUCAGAAUUUGUUAAAUGUCUAUACACAUUGAUAUGGAGAUAGAAGCAAUGUGCAUCAUAUAUGUAUAAUAUUCUAUUGCAGAAUUAAUGCUUAAUAUUUAUUUUAUAAUAUGUAAUUAUAAAUAUAAGUAAUUGUACAUAGAUGCAUACAAAAGAGCCUGCAAGUUAUCAUGUAGUUAGUGAGUAAAAUGUCUUUAUUAUUGCUAUGGAGUAGACGUGAUGAUAUGACAUUCAGUGCAGUGUCAGCAGCUGUUGUCAUGGCAACAGAAGAUGAAGAUGUACAGUUGGUUGGUUGGUUGGUUGGUUGGUUGGUUGCUUGUUUAAUGCCGCUCUCAGCAAUAUUCCAGCUAUUGGCGGCAGUUUGUAAAUAAUUGAGCCUGGACCAGACAAUCCAGUGAUGAAUAUCGUCCUAUUCAAUUGAAUAUGUACAGUACAAGAUGUUACAGGGGUUUAGUCUGAACAGGGAACAACUAGAUCUUACUUUUAUCUAUCAGUACCUUUAUAUGUAUGUGUAUGAACUCACUGUGCUUAUUCAGUAUUCACCUGAUCGUAGGUGCGAGAAGUAGCAGCCAUGAAGUGUCAUUGCAAACAAUGAACAAGUUAUC
rnacentral:lncRNA from 1 species